CCUACGGGGGCUGCAGUGGGGAAUUUUGGACAAUGGGGGCAACCCUGAUCCAGCCAUGCCGCGUGCGGGAAGAAGGCCUUCGGGUUGUAAACCGCUUUUGUCGGGGAAGAAAUCCUCUGGGCUAAUACCUCGGGGGCAUGACGGUACCCGGAGAAUAAGCACCGGCUAACUACGUGCCAGCAGCCGCGGUAAUACGUAGGGUGCAAUCGUUAAUCGGAAUUACUGGGCGUAAAGCGUGCGCAGGCGGUGUGAAAUCCCCGGGCUCAACCUUGGAAAUGCGUUUGUGACUGCAAGGCUGGAGUGCGGCAGAGGGGGAUGGAAUUCCGCGUGUAGCAGUGAAAUGCAUAGAUAUGCGGAGGAACACCGAUGGCGAAGGCAAUCCCCUGGGCCUGCACUGACGCUCAUGCACGAAAGCGAGGGGAGCAAACAGGAUUAGAUACCCGAGUAGUC
rnacentral:rRNA from 1 species